CUUCAGCACGUACUCCCCACAGCAACAGGAUGCUGAGGCUAGCAAAUGGUCAGCAAAGUCGAGACAAAUAUAGUCCAACACAGUCUCUUACACGUGCCCACCAA